rnacentral:rRNA from 1 species
GUGGGGAAUCUUGCGCAAUGGGCGAAAGCCUGACGCAGCGACGCCGCGUGGGUGACGAAGGCCUUCGGGUUGUAAAGCCCUGUGGGGUAGAACGAACUGGCAUCGGGCUAAUAUCCCGGUGUCUUGACGGUACUGCCUUAGCAAGCAUCGGCUAACUCUGUGCCAGCAGCCGCGGUAAGACAGAGGAUGCGAACGUUGCUCGGAUUUACUGGGCGUAAAGCGCGUGUAGGCGGUCUCGUUAGUCGGGUGUGAAAGCCCCGGGCUCAACCCGGGAAGUGCACCCGAUACUGCGAGACUGGGGUACUGAAGAGGAGAGCGGAAUUCCCGGUGUAGAGGUGAAAUUCGUAGAUAUCGGGAGGAACACCAGUGGCGAAGGCGGCUCUCUGGGCAGAUACCGACGCUGAGACGCGAAAGCGUGGGGAGCAAACAGGAUUAGAAACCCGAGUAGUCC